CCUCUGCAGGCUGAAGCGGUUGCACUUCUCUUGGCUGCACAAGUAGCCAAAUGUCUCAGCAUCAGCCAGCCGACCUUCCUCACAGACUGUCUCUCUUUGGCUUCAUUUGCGGCUAGUAGGAAGAUUACUGAAACUGCUACCCCUUGGACUAUCAGGAAAGUUUUAGCUGAUUUCUUCUGCUACUCUUCAGACCUUCAACCUAGAGUGUUCCAUAUUUCCAGAGAAAUUAAUGAAAUUGCUCAUAAUGUCGCUCAUCAGGUUCUUACAUCAAAUGUAGAAUCUGACAUAUGUUGUUUUGCUUCAGCUCAUAGGAACAUUACUUGCCCUGUAGUUUCUCUCCUCUCUAAUUUCCAGUUUGAGGGCUUUGUAAUCCAUGUUGUACGUUACUAUUGA
rnacentral:rRNA from 1 species